UACGUAGGGGGCAAGCGUUGUCCGGAUUUAUUGGGCGUAAAGAGCGUGUAGGCGGCCAGGUAGGUCCGUUGUGAAAACUCGAGGCUCAACCUCGAGACGUCGAUGGAAACCAUCUGGCUAGAGUCCGGAAGAGGAGAGUGGAAUUCCUGGUGUAGCGGUGAAAUGCGCAGAUAUCAGGAAGAACACCGGUGGCGAAAGCGCUCUGCUGGACCUUAACUGACACUGAGGGACGAAAGCUAGGGGAGCGAAUGGG
rnacentral:rRNA from 1 species